ACAUGGUCAUGGUGAAUGUGCAUUGAGUUCAGCAUGUUUCUGGUUUACACACAGCUUUCAGGGGGAAAUUAAAUAGUUUUACAAAGCCGAAGGGUUGUCCGACUUACUAUGUAUGAAUUUCAUGUCAUAAGAAAUUGGGUGCGAGCGUCCACCAGGAAUAUUUCGAUCGAAAUACAGAUUUCUCUUGAAUCCGAGAUGUUAUUCAUCAGCUGAUUAGAGGAGGAGUUUUGUCAUUGAUGGGAACCAACGUCAUAUUUAUGAUAUUGUGGCUGCAUCACUUUUGUUUGGCAGAAGUACAAGAGAACCAGUAACACAGAUAAAAGAUGCAGUUCCUAAGAGAUCCAAAGUCAGCAGCACCUAAGACUAUACUGAUCAUGACUUUGAAUUAUCAGCAUCCAAAACAAUGCAAAUCAAAUACAGGUUUUGUCUGUACAUCUGGCAAUCUUGGGGCAAUACUGGAUGGUUUUAACUAAGAACUGAUCCAGCAUGAAGACCAGCCAUGUGCCUCACCUGUCAUGACAUUAUUAAAGUACUUUGUGACAGUGGGAUGAUGGAAUAUUAAAGAAUGGACAUGGCUCUAUAUUACUGCAUCAGAGAUCAAUCCAGGUUUACUUAUAAAUCAAAGAAAAACACUUAAACAGUCAAGCAUCAUUUGAAGCUACAUGUG